GACGGGUGAGUAACGCGUAGGAAUCUACCUGGUAGUGGGGGACAACUUGGGGAAACUCAAGCUAAUACCGCAUACGCCCUAUGGGGGAAAGCGGGGGACCUUCGGGCCUCGCGCUAUCAGAUGAGCCUGCGUAGGAUUAGCUAGUUGGUGAGGUAAAGGCUCACCAAGGCGACGAUCCUUAGCUGGUCUGAGAGGAUGAUCAGCCACACUGGGACUGAGACGCGGCCCAGACUCCUACGGGAGGCAGCAGUGGGGAAUAUUGCGCAAUGGGGGCAACCCUGACGCAGCCAUGCCGCGUGUGUGAAGAAGGCCUUCGGGUUGUAAAGCACUUUAAGUGGGGAGAAAAGGGUAGCGGUUAAUAGCCGUUACCUGUGAUGUUACCCACAGAAUAAGCACCGGCUAACUCCGUGCCAGCAGCCGCGGUAAUACGGAGGGUGCGAGCGUUAAUCGGAAUUACUGGGCGUAAAGCGCGCGUAGGUGGUUUGUUAAGUCAGCUGUGAAAGCCCCGGGCUCAACCUGGGAACUGCAGUUGAUACUGGCCGACUAGAGUACGAGAGAGGGAGGUAGAAUUCCAUGUGUAGCGGUGAAAUGCGUAGAUAUAUGGAGGAAUACCGGUGGCGAAGGCGGCCUCCUGGCUCGAUACUGACGCUGAGGUGCGAAAGCGUGGGGAUCAAACAGAAUUAGAUGCCCUGGUAGUCCACGCCGUAAACGAUGUCUACUAGCCGUUGGGAGACUUGAUUUCUUAGUGGCGCAGCUAACGCAAUAAGUAGACCGCCUGGGGAGUACGGCCGCAAGGUUAAAACUCAAAUGAAUUGACGGGGGCCCGCACAAGCGGUGGAGCAUGUGGUUUAAUUCGAUGCAACGCGAAGAACCUUACCAGGUCUUGACAUCCAGAGAACUUGGCAGAGAUGCCUUGGUGCCUUCGGGAGCUCUGAGACAGGUGCUGCAUGGCUGUCGUCAGCUCGUGUCGUGAGAUGUUGGGUUAAGUCCCGUAACGAGCGCAACCCUUGUCCUUAGUUGCCAGCGAGUAAUGUCGGGAACUCUAAGGAGACUGCCGGUGACAAACCGGAGGAAGGUGGGGACGACGUCAAGUCAUCAUGGCCCUUACGACCUGGGCUACACACGUGCUACAAUGGAACGCACAGAGGGCUGCAAAGGCGCGAGCUGGAGCCAAUCCCACAAAACGUUUCGUAGUCCGGAUCGGAGUCUGCAACUCGACUCCGUGAAGUCGGAAUCGCUAGUAAUCGUGGAUCAGAAUGCCACGGUGAAUACGUUCCCGGGCCUUGUACACACCGCCCGUCACACCAUGGGAGUGGGUUGCUCCAGAAGUGGUUAGCCUAACCUUCGGGGGGGCGAUCACCACGGAGUGAUUCAUGACUGGGGUGAAG
rnacentral:rRNA from 1 species